AACUGAAGAGUUUGAUCAUGGCUCAGAUUGAACGCUGGCGGCAGGCCUAACACAUGCAAGUCGAGCGGAUGAAGGGAGCUUGCUCCCGGAUUUAGCGGCGGACGGGUGAGUAAUGCCUAGGAAUCUGCCUGGUAGUGGGGGACAACGACUCGAAAGGGUCGCUAAUACCGCAUACGUCCUACGGGAGAAAGUGGGGGAUCUUCGGACCUCACGCUAUCAGAUGAGCCUAGGUCGGAUUAGCUUGUAGGUGAGGUAAUGGCUCACCUAGGCAACGAUCCGUAACUGGUCUGAGAGGAUGAUCAGUCACACUGGAACUGAGACACGGUCCAGACUCCUACGGGAGGCAGCAGUGGGGAAUAUUGGACAAUGGGCGAAAGCCUGAUCCAGCCAUGCCGCGUGUGUGAAGAAGGUCUUCGGAUUGUAAAGCACUUUAAGUUGGGAGGAAGGGCAUUAACCUAAUACGUUAGUGUUUUGACGUUACCGACAGAAUAAGCACCGGCUAACUUCGUGCCAGCAGCCGCGGUAAUACGAAGGGUGCAAGCGUUAAUCGGAAUUACUGGGCGUAAAGCGCGCGUAGGUGGUUUGUUAAGUUGAAUGUGAAAGCCCCGGGCUCAACCUGGGAACUGCAUCCAAAACUGGCAAGCUAGAGUAUGGCAGAGGGUGGUGGAAUUUCCUGUGUAGCGGUGAAAUGCGUAGAUAUAGGAAGGAACACCAGUGGCGAAGGCGACCACCUGGGCUAAUACUGACACUGAGGUGCGAAAGCGUGGGGAGCAAACAGGAUUAGAUACCCUGGUAGUCCACGCCGUAAACGAUGUCGACUAGCCGUUGGGAUCCUUGAGAUCUUAGUGGCGCAGCUAACGCAUUAAGUCGACCGCCUGGGGAGUACGGCCGCAAGGUUAAAACUCAAAUGAAUUGACGGGGGCCCGCACAAGCGGUGGAGCAUGUGGUUUAAUUCG
rnacentral:rRNA from 1 species